GUGGGGGAUAUUGGUCAAUGGGGGGAACCCUGAACCAGCCAUGCCGCGUGAGGGAAUGAGGCCCUACGGGUCGUGAACCUCUUUUAUUCGGGGACAACGGCGGCGUCGAGAACGCCGCGUGAGGGUACCGAAGGAAUAAGCGUCGGCUAACUCCGUGCCAGCAGCCGCGGUAAUACGGAGGACGCGAGCGUUAUCCGGAUUCAUUGGGUUUAAAGGGUGCGCAGGCGGCCGUGCAAGUCAGCGGUGAAAGCCCGGGGCUCAACCCCGGAAGUGCCGUUGAUACUGCAUGGCUGGAAUGCGGUCGAGGCGGGCGGAACGUGGCGUGUAGCGGUGAAAUGCGUAGAUAUGCCACAGAACGCCGAUAGCGGAGGCAGCUCGCCAGGCCUGCAUUGACGCUCGGGCACGAAAGCGUGGGGAUCGAACAGG
rnacentral:rRNA from 1 species